AUUGAACUCUGGCGGCAGGCCUAACACAUGCAAGUCGAACGAGUGGCGGACGGGUGAGUAAUGUCUGGGCAACUGCCUGAUUGAGGGGGAUAACUACUGGAAACGGUAGCUAAUACCGCAUACCAUCAGAUGUUCCCAGAUGGGAUUAGCUGGUAGGUGGGGUAACGGCGUACCUAGGCGACGAUCCCUAGCUGGUCUGAGAGGAUGACCAGCCACACUGGAACUGAGACACGGUCCAGACUCCGACGGGAGGCAGCAGUGGGGAAUAUGGCACAAUGGGCGAAAGCCGGAUGCAGCCAUGCCGCGUGUGUGAAGAAGGCCUUCGGGUUGUAAAGCACUUUCAGCGGGGAGGCGUUACCCGCAGAAGAAGCACCGGCUAACUCCGUGCCAGCAGCCGCGGUAAUAC
rnacentral:rRNA from 1 species